rnacentral:rRNA from 1 species
GCCAAAAAUCUAAUCCUAACUCAACUUAUGAUAACACCUUCUACAUCACUAUUAAUUAAAUCAUUUUUAUAAUUUAGUAGAGGCGAUCAAAAAAUUACUAGGAAUUAUAUAAAUAGUACCGCAAGGGAACGAUGAAAUAAAAAUGAAAUAAAUAUAAAGCACUAAAAAGUAGAGCUUAACCCUCGGUACCUUUUGCAUCAUGGUUUAACUAGUCAUAUCAAGCAAAAUGCAUUAAAGUUUGACAUCCCGAAACCAAGCGAGCUACUUCAAGGCAGCUAAACGAGCAAACCCGUCUCUGUUGCAAAAGAGUGGGAAGACCUUCAAGUAGGGGUGAUAGACCUAACGAGCCUGGUGAUAGCUGGUUACUUAAGAAAAGGAUUUUAGUCCUACCUAAAGUUAAUAAAAUUUAUUAAAAUAAAAACUUAACCUUAGAGCAAGUCAAAUAAGGUACAGCUUAUUUGAAACAGGAUACAACCUCAAUAAACGGGUAAUUCUAGAUAGAAUAUAAUUAAGUAGGCCUAAAAGCAGCCAUCUUUCAAAAAGCGUCAAAGCUUAAUUAAUUUAUUAUAUUAAUUACACUAUUACUCAAGAACCCUUAUAUAGUAUUAAGUACUUUCAUAUCUUUAUGAAAUUUAUUAUGUUAAAACUAGUAACAAGAAGAAGCACUUCUCUUAAAUGUAAGUGUAAAUCAGAAAGAACACGUCACUGAUAAUUAACAUAUAUGAACAACAAGUAGUAACUUAACAAGAAAACUCUACUAAAUUACAUGUUAACCUAACACAAGAACAUUAAAAGAAAGAUUAAAAGAAAAAGAAGGAACUCGGCAAAUAUUAAUCUCGCCUGUUUACCAAAAACAUCGCCUCUUGAAAAACUAUAAGAGGUCCAGCCUGCCCAGUGACCCUGUUUAACGGCCGCAGUAUCCUAACUGUGCGAAGGUAGCGUAAUCACUUGUUCUUUAAAUGAGGACUAGUAUGAAUGGCACCACGAAGAUUAUACUGUCUCCUUUUUCUAAUCAGUGAAACUAAUCUUCCCGUGAAGAAGCGGGAAUAAAAAUAUAAGACGAGAAGACCCUAUGGAGCUUUAAACAAAAUUACACUUGCCAUACAUAAAUAAAAUUUGAGAAAAGUAAUUAUUAUUUUGGCAUUAUGAUAACAAGUUUUAGGUUGGGGUGACCGCGGAGAAAAAGACAUCCUCCACAUUGAAUAAGAUUUUAUCUUUAGCUAAAAGCUACAUCUUAAAGCAUCAACAAAUUGACAUUAUUGACCCAAUAAUUUUGAUCAACGAACCAAGUUACCCUAGGGAUAACAGCGCAAUCCAUCUCAAGAGCUCCUAUCGACAGAUGGGUUUACGACCUCGAUGUUGGAUCAGGGUAUCCCAGUGGUGCAGCCGCUACUAAAGGUUCGUUUGUUCAACGAUUAAAACCCU